rnacentral:tRNA from 1 species
CAGGUGUAGUUUAAUGGUAGAAUUCCAGCCUUCCAAGCUGAUCACGUGGGUUCGAUUCCCAUCACCUG